CCCUCCACCUCAGCAGCAGCUUGCUAUCUCGACCCUCUCCUCUCUUUCAGCAAUUUCUGUCCCCCAUCGCCUCGUGGCCCUUCUUUGUUGUUGUUUCUUGUUGCCGUCCUCAUAGCGUUGCCGUUGUUUUGCUUGUUGCGGCCGUCCUCGUCCUGCUUCCCCCCUGAUCCGACCACUUCACUGUCGCGUUGGUGUUUUGGGGCCAAAAAAAAGUUUGCUUGUUUUUCUGCUUCAUCUACUAAAACUAAGGACAUCCUAAUUCCCUAUUAAUAUUCACUUCCUCACACACCCACACCAAACCACAACGGCUUCACUCGUCGCGGCGGGAUUCAAGAGGUCGAGACCAUUACAGGUGAAUCCACAACACAUAUCGCAGACCUCUUCUCGCUGUCGAUGUCUUAAAAAUAUCCCUGGAUUUACCCAUUUGCCUCCCUCGCCCACACGAUCCAUAUAUUUCUUUCCAUCACCGAAGAACAGAAAGAGCUGAGAAGGAAGUCGAAUUAUUCAGAAAACUAUAGUGUUUCAUCCCCCCCCCUCACGCUGUCUCCUCCAUACUCCUUUAAAAACCCCAAACUCCCUGGCCACUGGAAAGUUAUUAUUACCGGAUUGAAACAAACUUCAGAUUGUCCUUUCCCUUCCCCUCCGUCGGGCCCCGUUCGUCUUUGCGGAGGAGAGGAGGGAUUUGGCAGCCUGCUUGUCCAUGUCGAAAAGAGUUGCACAGGCUCAGGGCGGGAAGGAUCUCGCAGGGGGUUUCGGGAACGAGAUGUCUGCGAAUCCCACUGAUAUGCCCAAGCGGGCUACGGCUGCGCAGUUGGCCAGUAGAAAAAUCAAACAGGCUCGACAGCGUACUCGCAUAGCCUCACCUAACCUUCCAUCUUCUACAUCCCAAUCAUUUACCAGCCCUUUCAGCACUAUUGACCCGAAUAUCGUUCCUUCUAGCUCCUCGACCGGGACAAACGGCUUCAACUUUGGCCAAGCUCAGAGCUUCCCCCAGCCGGGUUCGGGCACAGGUACAACCCCGCAGACCUCUUUCUUUGGCGACCAAAAUAACUCCGUGCCCAAGUUCUUUGGUAGCCAGGCAGGUUCUGCACCGUCUUCGUUCAGCUUCACUCCAUCAGCGACUCAGGAAAUAAAGAAUCCCUUCGCUGAUAUGCCCUCUGUGUUUGGUCAGAGCCAGUCUUCAACGGGAGUCUUCCAGGGUUUCCAGGGUAAAACCUUCAAUAUUCCGGGGACUACAAGCCAAGGUGACCAGAAUGAAGCUGGUCAGCAAGCGCCAUCUGCUGGGAUCUUUGGGGCCUCUCAGCCGCCACAGCAGACCAUUUUCGCAUUUGGAGGCAGUUCUGCGCCUGCAAGUUCUUCACUCUUUUCGGCUACACCUCCCGCUUCCACGCCACCAAUAACAUCCGCCCCUCUUUUCAGCCAGUCGACUGCGAGUAACAUUUUUGCGCCAUCAACGCCAUCCACAAAUAUGUUUGGUUCUAGUCCUCAAACUAAUAAACCAAGUGACGAGAUGCAAAUGUCACCGCCUGGCAAAACUGACAGUAUCAAUGAAAAUAAGGCCAGCCAAUUCUUUGCUUCUGGCGUUUCGCAGCCAUCAUUCACUUCCUCAGCGACCCAGCGGUCUCCCUUUGGGACACCCGCUCCCCCAUCUACUUCCCAACCAUUUUCUUCUCCUAUUUUCAACACGACUCCAUCUGGUGGAAGCAUGCUCUUUGGAACCAUGAAAAAACCCGAUGAGACUUCCCAACCCGCCACAUCGUCGAUUACUCAGCCGUCUCCAAAAUUUUUGUUUACCCCUUCUAUUAUGUCCGGCAGCUCGAUAUUCAGUCAUCCCAGCAAACCUGGUAACGACACACCAAACACAGUAACUGCGACUGUUUCAACGCCGUCGUUUUCCACUUCUUUCUCGGCUCCCGCGUCUGCUCCUUUCAGCCUUUUCGGCACCUCCUCGCAGCCGAAAGAGUUGCCAGCACCAUCUACAACCGAAGAUAGACCGUCGUCGGCUAAAUCUCCCUCCGCGGAACCUACCAAACCUACCACCGUUACUGGGACUUCAGUUUUUGGUCACAUCGCGAAGCCCACGGAACAGCCCCCUGCAAUCUCUACAUCUGUAGCAGAAGAUGAGAAAUCUUCAGCAGAAGCUCCGUCACCGGCACAACCCGCCACUCCAUCUGCCACUCCUUUUCCGUCUACACCUAGCGGCGGUGGUUCAUUAUUUGGCCGUACUAACAAACCCGGCGAAACCAGCCAACCCACAUCGAUUUUCAACACUCCAGCUACUAGCACGACUCCCAGUGGCCCCGUCUUCUCAUUUACCCCCUCAUCGACUAAUGUCUUCCAGACUCCAUCGAAAACCCCUUCGGCCAUUUCCAAUGAAGUGAAAACAAAGGAAAGCGGCCCGUUUCAAACAAAGGCCACGGGUGACACGGCACCAAGCGGUACCAGCAAGCUGUUUACGUCUUUGUCUCAAAGCCAACAACCACCCAGUAAUUCGUUUGGAUCCACUCCAGCAUCGUCUCCAUUUAAAAGCACAGUUGUCCCGGAAAAGACUCCAUCAACCCCUCCUGCGAUUUCCGCUUCCCUUCCUGGAAAAUCUACUCCAACCACGACUCCAAAAUCUUCCUUUGCUGGAAUUUCGAAUGGUGAAGGCGGACUCUCCAAGUCUACUGACACACCUCCAGCGAAAGUAGAGUCGGUUUUGAAGAGGAAAGAAUCCUUGACUUCUAAAUCCCGACUCGCUUCAUAUGGCCCACCAGCGAUCCCACAAGAACUCAACAAUGAUGAACGGGCAGCAUUCGACACCGAAUGGCGGUUGAACGCACUGAAUACUUCUUUCCAGAGACGUGUCGCAGAGGCGGAUCCCAAGUCUGACGAUAUUGAAGUCUUGGUAGAAUUCUACGUAAGAGUACGGGAAAAUAUCGGCGUCCCGACGGGAUUAGCUAUGCUUCACAAAUCAGGAAAGAAGCGGAAAGAAGUCGAAGAAGAUGGAUGCGUUGUGGAAGAUUCCUCACGGAAUAAACGGCCUAAGGGUCUCCUCCCAGAAACGAACAACACGUCGUUAUUUUCAUCACCCGCUGCUGUAGAUGCCAGCAAUUCUUCUGGCGAUAAAUCUGCAAGUGCAAGUGUAAAUUUUUCUUCAACUGCUUCUUCCUUCGGAAAACGCAGGAUGACUGACGUUGAAGACGAGACUAGCAGCCGUGGCGAACUUGGAAAUAGCAAUGGCAAAAGACUCAAACCCAUUGGUGAUUCAGCCACCAGUGCAAGUCCACUUCAAAAAUCCAGUACUGACACGGAGCAGAAAAAGAGGAAGAAUGACAGUGAAGGCACUGGUUCUGGUUCCGGUAUAAGUGCAGCAUCCGAUACAGUGACGAUGUUUGCCACGUCAUUCGUGUCCCAAUCAAACAGAGCAAAGAGUCCUGUGGGGUUCACAGCUCCGUUUUCAUCUCUCUCCUCAACGCAGAACGGUACUGAGGGUCCCGGUACUGUAUCUCUUUCAUCGCAGGGCUCGGAGAGCGAGAACGACACUGAAAGUAAUGAUUCAGCAGAGGAAGAUGGUGGGGAAGGCGAAGGGGAAGGGGAAUCUGAGACUUCCCUGACACCACCGGCUACGAGCAAUGGUGGGCGCAGUCUAUUUGACAGGGUAGAGCUAGAUCAGAGUGGCAAGCCAGUACGUCAGGAGGUACCGGAAAUAGAGACGGUCGCGACGCCAAGCUCCGGAGAGAAAGACUCGAACUCGAACGUUUCAUCAUUAUUCGCUGGGUCUAAAUUUGCUUCGUCAUUCAAUUCACCAGGAUCCAUCGGUACCCCGCAAUUCUCAAAUGGAUUUGAUUUCAGAUCCCCUGGGUCUCUAUCUCCAAUAAAUCCUAGCCCAGGAGCUUCAGAUGCGAAAUCGCCACCGGCCAUAUCUGCCAGUAGCACAAGUACAUCGGCACCCACCACUUCGGCCAUUCCCACUACCACCUCCUCCCUCUUCCCAAAGGCCACUAGCUCCCUCCUUCCCAACGGCAGCGCUCAACUCUCCCCCUUCCCUUUGUCAUCUGUCACAUCCGCCGACGUCAGCCGUGCCACAACCCCUAACCUCUCCGAAGCCGGAGCCGAUGAACCCGAAGAAGCCGCCGACGACCUCCCGCAAGUCAACCUGCUCCGCGGCGGUACAGGGGAAGAGGACGAAGACGAAGUCUUCGAAACCCGAGUCAAAGCCCUGAAGUUGGGCGUGGAUCCUGCGUCUGAGGAUCCAAAACCAAAACUGCAAUGGAUACUGCAAGGGGUGGGACUGUUGCGGAUCCUGAAGCACAAGACAACGGGGCGAGCGCGUAUUUUGGUACGGGCGGAUCCGAGCGGCAGGGUUCUGCUCAAUGCCAAUCUUGUCGCGGCGGUUAGUUAUAAGAGUACUGGUAGCGCUGUGCAGUUUCUGGUACCGCAGGAGCCGAAGCCCGAGCAGUGGAUUGCGAGGGUUAAGAAGGAGGAGAUUGCGGUGGAGCUUGCUGGGGUUAUGGAGAAGUAUAAGAAGUGAGUGACUGAGUUGGGUGCGAAUAUGUUCAGCCCUAUGCUUAGGCCUUGGUUUGAUAUUUUAGAGGGUCAACAGGUUGGUUUAUUCAGUUACACAAGGUUCAUACUCUUACUAGGGUUAGAAGCGAAACGAGAAAGAUGAUAUGGUUUGGUAUGGUAUGAUGGAUGAGCACGGAAUACAGAAUGAAUAUGAUGUGGGGCGGGUGGUUGAGCUUUGGUUUGCCCUUGUUCUGUUCUGGUAUUUGCAUGUUUGGAUGUCCUUUCUUCUCAUUUUUACUUAUUCAUUUACACUUUUCAAAGUCUCUCAAAACACACACUAGCGUUAAGAAUUCCUGUCAUCUUUUCUGUUUUCUAUCAUAUUUUCUAUCAUAUUUUUGUUACAUCUUGUUUGGUGUUUUACCCAUUUACUUUCUCUGCGAGGUGUUUUUUUUUUAUCCCAUUACUUUUCUUUUCUUUUCUUUGCUUUUUUAUUUUUUUUUUUUUUUUUAGUAAAACUUACAUUUUGUUCCUUUUUUCGUUUCUUAAUUUAUCAUUUUUCAUCCUUUUUGUUUUCCUGUUCAGUUUUGCCAUGUCGAAUAUCUACUUUAUUCUUGCUUUCUUCUCUUAUAUAUUCCUUUUCACCUUACCACCAUUAAGCAAUCUUGAAAGCAAGGCAGGCAGGUUUCACCAUUUCACAUUUUUCUACCUUUGUUUUAUUUACGACUUGGCUCAGCGCCAAAGGAACGAAGGAAAAGAAGAGAGGGAGCAUGAAAUUAAUGUUCUUAACAAUAAUGCCAUUUUCUAUUUUUUAAUUUUUUUCUUCCGCCCUUCUACAUUUCUUUCGCCCCUUUCCUCCUUGUUAUUUUUGCCCAAUUAUUUCUUCAAUAUAUCUUUUCUCUUGUUGCUUUCAUUCCGGUUGUUACGGUUUCUUGUACAUGUAUAUCCCCUAUCUUCUAGCCCUUUCCCUGGCUGGUUUUCUCAGCUUGUGCAGCCUCCAGCACGUACAAACAAAUCCUAUUGAAACAUAUACGUACUCCCUUUCACAAGCUAUCCAACAUAACUACCGCUUAUAGGGACACAGGCGCAACGCGGAGUCCCAUCAGGCCAAUGAAGCC
rnacentral:sRNA from 1 species